UAUGGCCAUAUCAUGUUGAAACACUGGUUCUCAUAUGAUCACCAAAGUUAAGCACCGUCAGGCCUGGGCAGUAUCUACAAUGAGUGACCAAUUGGGAAUACCAGGUGCUGUUA